rnacentral:tRNA from 1 species
GGUUCGGUAGCUAAGUGGUAGUAAGUCACAACAACAUAUCAUCUCAGGACCAACAAUCCUAAGGUCACGUGUUCGAUCCACGUUCGGACCU